UAAAACAGCAAUAAGGAUCAUUAUUAGGUUAUUUACAUUAUUAUGUAAAUAACAAAAUAACUUAAAGCAAAAAUUGGGAAACAAAGUCCGAAGUCUUUAUAUUAAGGGCCAUCAGUCAAACAAUACUGUUGGUCUGGGUCUAAACAGAGCGCGUUGUGUGUGACAUCUUCUUUUGCGCAUGCGGGCCGCUUUGAGCGUUCACACUAGAGCGCGUUUGUUGUCGCAUUUUAUUUGUAGUGUGAACAAGCAGACAAAAGAAUCGGAUUUGAUCAAAAAAUCAGAAUUGAGCAUUAAGACCUGCAGUGUGAACGUAGCCUUAGUUCUAACAUUUACCUGAAACUCAGAUAAAAAUAUUUCACACGCUGCAAAGAAGAAAACGACAUGAAGCAAAAUAAAAAGUACGAGAAACAAAAUGAAAUCACUACAGGAGGGGUCAAAGGUCAUCCUGGUACAUUGCUCUGGUUUCUGUUUGAUUUUGAUGAAAUCAGCAUCUGAUUACGUGUUAUUGAAAUGAGCCGAUUCGAGCGGGCGUUCUGGUCAAACUAAGAUUUCUUUAUGCAGAAAACAGAAACGUUCAACUGCUUUAUAAUAAAAAAUAAUCGAAUGCAGUUUCAUAUUUACAGAAACUUUGUGAAGUUUGUCUGAAAAAAACAAAAAGUCUCACGGUCACGUUUCAUGUCAGCGCCUUCACUGCAUCUGUGGUUGGACAUCGUCACACUUAAGUGCCUUUCCGGAUCUUUCUACCUGUGUUUGUUUCUUUUGGACGAGGUUCAUAUGCUCGAUUUAUUUAUUUUUAAUCCAUAAUUGAACUCGUGUUUUCUUUUUUGUACUCUGUCUGGUGCUACACUGAGAAUGUUCAUCCAAAAAUGGACGUUUAAAAAAAGAAGAAGCUUUUUGCUUUGCUGCUGCUUUUUGUUUUAAACACGUGAAACAUCCAAAGCUUCGUGAUCGUACCAACACGCACGACAAGAUAUUUGUGGAGAUGUGUUCAUGUUUCUCUGCCGGAGCGUGGACGAGUCUGUGUGUCGG
ensembl:lncRNA